GCGGGUAAAAGGUAGCAGCUUAAGGUUUGCUAUUAAAAAAUAAGUUUUUAGUCUUGAGUGAUAUUGGGACUUAAUUCUCAGCAUAUAAUAUUAGAAAAUUUAAUAAAGUUAAGAUCUAGUAAUAAGUUUAAACCUGAUUAAUAUUGUGCCAGCAGUCGCGGUUAUACUUUAAGGUUUAGUAAGGAAAUAUUGGCUUAUUGUUAAACGUUGGUCGAUGAUUAAUAAAAUAGCCUGAGAGAAUAAAGAGUGAAAUUAGAGAUUCUUAAUAGGUCUGUAGUUUUUAAUCUAAGUUGAAGCAAUAAAAGAUUGGAGAUAAACUAGGAUUAGAUACCCUAUUAUACCAAUAAGUAAUUAUUAUAAGCCUAAGUAUUAAUAGUUAUUUUCUAAAAAUUUGAAAAAUUUGGCGGUGGUUCAGUCCUGUCAGAGGAACCUGUCUUUUAAACGAUACACCACGAAAUAUUUUACUUAAACUGAUAAAGUAUGUAUACCAUCAUUAUUAGGUAAUUUUUAUAGAAUAAAUUACUAAAAGACUAGCAGGUAAAGCUAAAUAUAUUAGAUCAAGGUGCAGCUUAUGUUUAAGUUAAGAUGGGUUACAAUAAUAUUUAUUUAUUACGGAUAGGUGAUUUAAAUAUUGCCUGGAAGGAGGAUUUGAUUGUAAAAAUAGUUUAGUAUGAUAUUUAGAUAUAGGCUCUGAAGCAUGUACAUAUCGCCCGUCGCUUUCAUUCAUAAAAUGAGAUAAGUCGUAACAUAGUAGGUUUACUGGAAAGUGAACCUGGAAAGUAAAA
rnacentral:ncRNA from 1 species